rnacentral:rRNA from 1 species
UACGGGAGGCAGCAGUGAGGAAUAUUGGUCAAUGGGCGAGAGCCUGAACCAGCCAAGUAGCGUGAGGGACGACUGCCCUAUGGGUUGUAAACCUCUUUUGUUUGGGAAUAAAGUGGGCCACGCGUGGCUUUUUGUAUGUACCUUACGAAUAAGCAUCGGCUAAUUCCGUGCCAGCAGCCGCGGUAAU